GGGACCCUAUGGAUCUUGGUGUACUCCUGACUCAUCGCCACUUCAUAAUAAACUAACUCAAACAAUAUCGAACAUUGAAACGAAAACACAGAUCAAAGAUAGUCAUCAGAAACAGGAAAAUCCAAUAAUUCC